rnacentral:lncRNA from 1 species
GAGACACUGAAUGACGCCUGCUACUUUCUUUUCGUUUUCAUUUAUAUGAGUACAUUGUAGCUGUCUUCAGACAUACACCAGGAGAGUGCAUCAUAUCCUAAUACAGAUGGUUGUGAGCUGCUAUGUGGUUGCUGGGAACUAAACUCAUUACCUCUGGAAGAGCAGUCAGUGCUCUUAACCACUGAGCCAACUCUCCAGCCCCUUUAAUUUCAAUGUAUGGAAUUUCAGAGGCCAGACUGUAAGACACUGGCCCUUCACUUACUGAAGGUUGAGAUGAACCAUGUUCAGGGAUAUGUUGUCUCUGUCAUACUGUCAAGAGCAGGUCCACGCGUAAGACAACUCCAGGGCUGUGACUUUUACUAACAUCAACUUGUGAUUGGUUUUCCUUUUCAAUUCUGCUGCAGGUGUUAGAAGGCAUCCUUUUCUCAUUUCUCCUUGUGGAUCACUAUCUACCAUUCUAAAAUCCUUAAGAUAUUAUUACAUAGUCUUUUAGGAGCAAGAACAUCUGGCCUCAAGUGGAUAACUGGAAAAAAAAAAAAGAUACAAAUUGUAUCUGCUCUUGAGUAACCCUAGUUUAUACCUUUCUGGUGAGGUUUUGGUACCAGACUGCUAUUUUGGGGCAUAAGAACACAUUAUGGCUUUGAUAGUCACUAAUGUAUUUAUUAGAGUAGAAGUGAAGGUCCGACCCUUUUACCACUCCAAAAGAAUUAAAAAAAAAAAAAAGUACCAGCAAACAUUGAGGGUUGGGGAGAUGGCUCAGUUGGUUAUGUUAUUGUCAUGCAAGUAUGUGGGUGAGAGCUUGGAUCCCCAGAAACCAUGAGAAGUGGGGAACAUAGGCUACAUGUCUGGGGUUCCACUGCUCCUGUGGUAAAGUGGGAGACAGAGAUAGAAUUCGUCGGAAGCUCAUGGUGGUGAAUAAGAGACCUCACCUCAAAGAAAGUGGGAGGCAAUGGUGUCCUCUGACUUGCACACUGUGCCUUCCCAUGUUCACACCCAGGCCUGUACUCACACCCAUGGGCCCACACAUAUGUAUGCACAUCACAUGCAGAGUUUAAGGGGGGGGGGGACCAGCAUAGAACUAGUAUUAAAAAAAACC